rnacentral:rRNA from 1 species
CUACGGGGCGCUGCAGUGAGGAAUAUUGCACAAUGGGGGGAACCCUGAUGCAGCAACGCCGCGUGGAGGAUGACGCAUUUCGGUGUGUAAACUCCUUUUAUAUGUCAAGAAAAUGACGGUAGCAUAUGAAUAAGCGCCGGCUAACUCCGUGCCAGCAGCCGCGGUAAUACGGAGGGCGCAAGCGUUACUCGGAAUCACUGGGCGUAAAGGACGCGUAGGCGGGUUGAAAAGUCAGGUGUGAAAGCCUACAGCUUAACUGUAGAACUGCACUUGAAACUCUCAAUCUAGAGUAUGGGAGGGGCAGAUGGAAUUAGUGGUGUAGGGGUAAAAUCCGUAGAUAUCACUAGGAAUACCUAAAGCGAAGGCGAUCUGCUGGAACAUUACUGACGCUAAGGCGUGAAAGCGUGGGGAGCAAACAGGAUUAGAUACCCGAGUAGUC